UCCCAUCUUUUCUUCAUUUUUUUCUUUGCUCUUUCCAAAUUAGCGCUGCAAUAUUUCAAAUAAAGCAUGGCAACCUUUCCAAGGAAAAAAGUCAUAAAUAUG
rnacentral:ribozyme from 16 species